GGGUCCGGUGGGCCACUGACCUCCCCAGAGAACCGGGAGAAAGAACUACCCGCCCACCCACCCUCCCGGCCGGAAGGCCCGCGUCACUCGUGCGGGUGACCGGCUUGCAGGCGCGGGACGCGGACGGCUACGUUCGCGGCAACCACCACAAACGAAUACGGCCCCCGGCCGGGAUUGCCGUCCCGAUCGAGGGCCUGACCGAUCAGGAAGAACACCCUUCCCA
rnacentral:ncRNA from 1 species